GCCCGUUCCAGCCAGCGGGAGAGGUAGAGAGGGUUUAGGAUUCCGAGCAUCUGCUUCGCAACAACGUUUGCUCUGCUUCAAUCUUCCCGAUCCAUCUGCCUCCAUCGUCGCCUUCAGGAUUGAAUGCCCAGCUGGGUUCAGGCAUAGGUGCCGCAAUAGAUGUGGGUUUGAAUAUUGACGGCUGAUUGCGGAGCUUUGUGAUCAUUUUUUGAAGAAAAAUUCCCUUUCAUCGCUAUUUUUUUAACUUGGAGCAGCGGCAAUGAAUCGUAAAGAUGGUGGGUGAGGGUCUUUUAUUUACUGCUGCAUAGCCUAAUUGGAAAGAAAACACUUCAAGACCGCCUGAUCAGAACAUCAAACUAUUGAAGUUCUUCAACAAGAGAUGGAGGCAUCCAUCCCUCCUCAACCGACUACUUCAAGCUCUUCUCGAGGGUACUCUUCAAGUGCUUCAUUCCGAGAGUCAGAUGUGGAGUUUCUACAAACUGAAGCUAGAGAAUGGCUGGAGGCAGUGCUGGAGGAAAAGCUGGACCCACAUACGAGCCUACAAGAUCUAUUAGCUGAUGGCACCAUUCUCUAUAGAAUAUCGCUGAUUGUAAAAGAAAACCUUGGUAAACUUAAAGGAAAUGCUGCGAACCGACCUGCCGCUGCAGUUCCCUCUCCAGACGUGAACCGGACCAGGACUAGCCUCAAGUAUCAACCUUACUCAUAUGUUGAAGCUUUCCUCAAGGUUUGCAAGGACGUAGGCUUGUUGGAUUUGGAUCUAUUCAACCCAUCUGAUGCAGUCGAUAAGAAAGAUAUACGCCACGUGUGUGUUUGCUUACUUAGGUUGUCAAAGAAAGCUCGAACAUUAAACAUUCAUUUGCCUGAUUUUGAUAAUCCGAAGCACACGCUACUCAGUCCUCCUCCUAAGCACUUAAUGCCUAGUGACGUAGUCCACAACCUUCGAGACUCUCUCCAGCAACCGUCAAAUGGACCUGCGUCGGCCAAAAGUAACAUUAUUUUGGAUCUCGAUAAGGAGAUCUCAUCGAGCGCUGCAGAUUUAUCAAUGGGUGACUCAGAAUCUAAUAGUGUUAGCCCAGAAGUAGAUUCAAGAGGACUUCAACAACCACGGAAUGCUCUGCAGGACCCAGAGAAUGUUGGUGAUUUCAGCGGGGAUCUCUCUGCUAUGGAGCCCAAGGACUUGGACGAAUACGUGAGACCUGUCAAUCACAAUGGUUUGUCUGAGAAGCCACAGCCCGUGGUUGAAUUGGGAAUUGGUACCUUAAAAGCUAGUCAAUCUCCUAGGAAGUCACCAGAUGCCCUGGAGCAGUAUGGGGCCAAAGAGAAGGGGAUGUCUCGCAACCCCAAGGGACGGUAUUCCUGGUUUCCAUACGCUGCUGGAGUUGUAUUUGUUGGUGUUUUGGUGGUCAUGGUAGUGGCCCGGGAGAGAAGACGGCCUUCACUAGGUGUGUACGAGGUUCAGCCAACGGAUUCCCUGGCGGAGAUUUCAAGGCGAACAGGAAAUGCAACAUGGCAAGAGUUAUGACGAACUGAUUGUUACUGCCGUAAAAGGUUUGUGGAUCUGGAAUGAGUGUCGGUUGAAUUUCACGCAGGGGUUACUGAACUGUGGUACAGCAACGGUCGUCGAAGUUUUCUGAUUUGUGGUUCAAGUCUGACAGGCCCCAGAGCUGACUGAAGCUUGUGACGGUGUCUCCCAUCUGGAAUUUCUCAUUCGUUCAAUUACGUUCUCAAGAAGGUACAUAAUUACUUACGACAUUCUAUAACGAACUAGCAGGAGACACCUAAACGAUAGAGGUGAGAACCACGUCGCGUGGUUUUGCCACACCAUCGUUGUUCGCACGCUCAGCAGUACUAAUAUCAUGCUUACAAGGGCGUGCAUAUAGUAGCAUUUUCCAUGCAAACGAGAAUUAUCUACUUUGUAAUAGAAUUGUGAACACUGGAGAAAUGAAGCUUCAAAAAACCCUGUAGGUGCUCCUUUCAGGCGUUGGGAGUAGUUCGAACGUGCUGGGAAAUUAAGAAGCCACGUCAUCAACCCAUCCAGCAUUGUCCCCUCGAAACUUGCAACCACUUCGUGUGGAAAUUGUAUCUGAACAAAAUUUCAUCAUGCAAUUGAUUUGUUGGUCGGAUAACAGGA